rnacentral:tRNA from 1 species
GCCUGGGUGGCUAAGUUGGUUAAGCAUCCGACUUCAACUCAGGGCUUGUGGGUUCGAGCCCCAUGUCGGACU